rnacentral:rRNA from 1 species
UACGUAGGGUGCGAGCGUUAAUCGGAUUUACUGGGCGUAAAGCGUGCGCAGGCGGCCCGUUAAGACAGGUGUGAAAUCCCUGGGCUCAACCUAGGAAUUGCGCUUGUGACUGGCGGGCUCGAGUACGGUAGAGGGGGGUGGAAUUCCCGGUGUAGGGGUAAAAUCCGUAGAUAUCGGGAGGAACACCAAUGGCGAAGGCAGCUCCCUGGCCUGUCUCUGACGCUCAGGUACGAAAGCGUGGGGAGCAAACAGG